rnacentral:lncRNA from 1 species
GCUUGAGGACAAAGUGCUAAAGGCAUUUACUUUUGAGUUAUAUUUUAUAUUCAUUUUACCUCCAAUUGAGCUUAAUUUGUUUGUUUAGAGCUUUAGUUUUAGUUCUUUUAGGACCUUGGAUGACAUUACAUGGCAAGGAGGUCUUUGGAAUAAAAAAAGGAUGAGAAUCAGGCUAAGAGAAUGCAUUUUAUAAAGGUUUGGAGUCA